GAGUCGACUGAUGGGAUCAACAUCCCCGACGGCAAGUUCUACCUUGAAGAUGUUGGCUAUGCAUGUCGGCCGGGUAUUCUUCCAUCCUUCAGAAAAACCGGGUACCAUCUCAAAAAGUUCUCUGGUAGGAACUAUCCUAGGACUGCACAGGAGCUGUAUAAUCUCACACACUCCAGCUUUAGAGUAACUGUUGAGAGGGCAUUUGGAGCUCUGAAGAAUAGGUUUAAGAUCCUGGAUCAGAAGCCAUUCCACCCAUACUCCACUCAAGUUAAGCUUGUUCUUGCUUGUUGCAUUCUGCAUAACUGGAUCCUCUAG
rnacentral:rRNA from 1 species